CCCUUAGAUGUUCUGGGCCGCACACGCGCUACACUGAAGGAGGCAGCGUGUACUCCUGGAUCGAAAGAUUUGGGUAACCCGCGAAUCUCCUUCGUGCUAGGGAUUGAGGUUUGCAAUUAUCCUUCAUGAACGAGGAAUUCCCAGUAAGUGCAAGUCAUAAGCUUGCGCUGACUACGUCCCUGCCCUUUGUACACACCGCCCGUCGCUCCUACCGAGUGGGUGAUCCGGUGAACUAUUCGGACUCCGGUUAUUCCAGCAUUUGGUUUUGCUGGGGAAAGUUUCGUGAACCUUAUCACUUGGAGGAAGGAGAAGUCGUAACA
rnacentral:rRNA from 1 species